rnacentral:misc_RNA from 1 species
UACGUAGGGGGCAAGCGUUGUCCGGAAUUACUGGGCGUAAAGAGCUCGUAGGCGGUCCAUCAAGUCGGAAGUGAAAUCUCAAGGCUCAACCUUGAAACCGCUCCCGAUACUGGUGGACUUGAGGCAGGUAGGGGAAGGUGGAAUUCCUGGUGUAGCGGUGGAAUGCGCAGAUAUCAGGAGGAACACCAGUGGCGGAGGCGGCCUUCUGGGCCUGUACUGACGCUGAGGAGCGAAAGCGUGGGGAGCAAACAGG